AACAAAGCAAAAGCUCUUGUCAUGAGACAGGCUUUGCUUUUAGUUAUUUGACAGUACUGGUCAGUCUAAAAGCUGAAGAGAAUGUAGAACUCACAGUUGUGCACUUUCAAUAAGAAUUGUAAUUUGUUUUAUUAUUUUGGGCAACUUUUUAAGAUUCACACUGAGUGUGCUUGUGUGUAUGAAAAAACUUUACUGACUUCCAUUGAAUGCUUGUAGUUGGUCAGCCAACUGUGUCAAAUUAUGUAUUUUAGUUUAUUAAAGGUGCAUAAUUUCUUUCCUAGAUACUUUAUUACGGAACUUACACAGGCAUUCCAGUGUCAAAAAAGUCAAGUGGGAUUUUCUGGAGUGCAAAGAUCUUUUUGAUCAUGUAUACAAUGGGCUUCUUAAAGUUCUUGAAAAAUAAAUGAGGAAACAGGCAAACCUCUGAGAUGUGCAGAUGUUCAUAGUGUGUCAUCUUGGCAUCUCAAUUACCAAAGGCUGGUACCAGGAAGUCUCAGAUAAUACUGUCUGUAAUUAGUGUGCUGUACUCAUGCUUUUCAGAAACAGAAGAGAUUGUGGAGAAAACAAGCUUACAACAGGAGAGAACUCUGAAUGUUGAUUUUUCUUCCCUUUACUUUAUUUUAGGAAAUGGUGAUGGAUAAAAGCAGCUUCUGAAAGAAGCACAAAUCAUCAUUUUGCUGUGUCUUUUGAUCCCUUAGAUCUAUGUAUCGUAAUUCUUUUGCUAAUUGUGAAGUUAAUUGAGUAAAAACAUCUGAUUCCCUGAAUACAGAAAGCUAUUUAAACAAACAAAACCCAAAGGUACCCAAAUUCCUUAUUGUUUGCUCUCUUCUGGUCUCUCAGGUGUCUUUUCUAGGACUUGAAUGAUUGCCAGCUCAAUAGCUUUAUUUCUCCUUGGCAGAUUCACGCACUGCUUUGGAUAGCCUGGUGUCAACUUCAGGAGAUCCCAUGUUUGUUCAGCACAACUCAUGUAAUUGUAGUCUUCUAGUCCAGGUGUCUGUAGUGGUGAACAAUACAAUUCAUGGUUCUUAUGUCUGUGAAUAUGGAGGGCUUAGGUGGCAAUGGUUUCUACUUGCUUUGCAAGUUAAUGUAUCCCCUGGUUUUGGCUGUGCUGUCAGGAAUCAAAUAGACUGCUUGUUUCUUGCACCAAGCAGGGGAAAAAAAGUCGUGUUCCCACAGAUUGUAACUCUGCUUCAGCACUGUACUUUGUUCACUGUAAAUAAAACUCUGAUACCAGUAAAUAACACCUCAAUUCACCUUUGUUUCAGUGUUUUGUGAGAGCAUAGUCAGAUGCUGUUUCUCUUGGGAGCAUUAGGUUUUCUCUCUGCUGCAUGUGAUGCCAUGUCUGUUUCCAGAAUUUGUUAGCUUCUUUGCCAGUUAACUCCUCAGAAGUUCCUUCAUGUUCUUGAUUGUUUUUCUUUUUCUGGACCUUUUUGAGGAACUUGUGUAAGGCCAUUACCACUGCUGCUGAUUGUACUGCACAACCUAUUAGGUAUGGUGCUUGGACUGUUGGCCGAUGUCCGAAGCAGUGUGAAGCAGUCCUUCCUUGAAGUCCUGAGGAUCAAGUUAUUUGGCAUGCUGAUUACUGUCAUGCAUAUAUUUUACUAGUGGGAAGAAUGCAAUUGUGUAAAACUUAAAUUCA